CGAUGGCUGGGAAGCGGACUCCGCGCCCGGCUCUGAGUCGGGCUCGGGUUCGGAGUUCGACACCGGCAGCUGGC
rnacentral:tRNA from 1 species